AAUGCCCUCCAGCCUACCUGCCAGACCCCAGUACUGAAGAAGUGGAUAAGAGACCACAUGUCCAGGCAGAAAACUGCAGUUAAAGUGUGCUUACGAGUGAUGUCAGCCUCACAUUAUGUGGUGCCCUGGGGAGGUACCCCCAGCAGUGACCAUCCCUCUGCCCAUGGCUCUACAAAGUUGCAGAAAGCCCAGUGACAGCUGGAGGAGACACUGGAUCGAAACAGUACAUUCCUCUGAUUCUUCUCCCAGCUAUCCUGUAAUGCAUCCUAAAAACCUUGGGAGCAGUGUCUCAUGAGGUGAUGAUGAUUCCACCAGUGAGAAAAAGGAACAGAGGAGG